GGCUCCACAGGUGUGGUCCCUCUUUUGCAUCUGUGGUUCCAUGCCUCUCUCAGCCUUUCCUCUUCUGCGACCCAAACAACGCAUUUGCGAUACCACACUUGCGGUCGCCAAACCGCAGGUGCAGAAACACCAGAAGCAACAUAAAAAUCUGAAAUCACUCAAGUUCCCACCUUCCCGUUAGCCACCUGAAAUUACCCCGGGGCCCCC
rnacentral:lncRNA from 1 species